ACUCUUUUUUUCAACUACUUUCAAUUAAUAUGUUUAUGUUUUGUUUUCUUUAAAUAGAGCAUCUCUUUAGUCUUGUUUUCUCAAUUGUUUUGUCCCUUUUUCUUGUCUUCAACAUCUUUAGCAAAGGUUUUGUUUCAAUGGUUAAUUAACCAAAUUUGUGUGUGUAACCCAAGUUUAAAUCAUUUAUGGAACAAUCAUCGUCCGAUUUUAUCUAUCAUAUUCAGUUGACUUUAGAUUACUAUACCUUUGCAUGUUCAUAUUCAAAAGGGUUUAAGAAGCACAUAUACGGAUACGGACACCAGAUAUCGAAUACGUCUAAUCUAAGGAGUAUCUAUGCCUCAUAAACCCUUUUGAAUUUUUAAUAUGCAUAUUGCAUAUGAACUCCGUUGCAUGAUACUUCUAGUCUUUUUGCUUUCUUUUGUUGGCUUUAGUUGGUUUCAUCCUUUUCAAACUAGCCACUAGCAUAUUCAGUUUUCAAAGUUGGCGUUUUUUGGUUUCUUAAUCUAGAAGAUUUUAAAAUGAAUUAUACUUUAUUUGACUUUAUAUUAUUAGUGUUAAUCUUUUUCAUCCCUUAUCUACAUCCCACAAACAUUGGCCCCACCCUUUUUGUUUGUUGCUGCAUUUUGUUUUGUUAACUAACUUUGUUUGUUGUUUGCUUUUGUAUGUUGUCGUGAAUAAAUAAAACUAAAGGAAAGCACAUACAACAAUAAAUAAAUAAAUAAAUAUUUACAGCAUUUAAUAAUUUUCCAACUUUACUACUCAUACGUGACCUUGAUAACGAUAUCUUGAAUUUGAAAAUGUACAAAAUAAACAAGCAAAAACUAUUUAAAAAGCCAGGGUUGCCAAUUGAGUAUAAGUUUUAGUUAUUUUGUGGUGAAAUCAAAUAUAUAUAAGUCGAUAACUAGAAUAAUUUCAGGUGGGACCUUGGUGAUAAUGAGAUUAUCAUAAACUAAAUUAUAAGCUUGACAUUAGGUUUAUAUUUGAUUUUUUUCGUCAAAAUAAAAGGUUUAUGUAUUUAAUUUGUUAAUUUUUGUUUUAGGAUGAUGGGAUUAUAUAUAAUAACUAUAAUGAGAUUUCUUUAUAGUUUUGAUUAGAACAUAUGCUCACUAUUUGAAGGUAUUAUCCAGUCAAAAAGAAAAUAUGGUUUUUUCUUAUAUCAUCAACACGGUAUAUGGUUCACCCAAAAAAAAUCAACAGGGUGUAUUAUUGAAUUAUGUAACACGUUUUAAGGUUUGUUUGAAUUAAAAUGUUUAUAAGAGUACUUUUCAAUUCCUCUAAAUUAUGUUAAAGAAAAGUAAAAAUAUUCAAAAGUUUAAGGAUUAUCCUUGGAUUUUGACUUUCAAUCAUUUCUUGAAUAAUUGUGCGGACUGGUUAGCAAAAUAUGGUUAUAAGUUGGAUUGUUGCAACAUGUCUUGGAAACUCGUUUUUCUCGUGUUUAGUUUUUUUAUUUUUAUUUUCCUUUUCAUAAAAAGAAAAAACAAAAAGUAAAUGCUUUUCUGAAACCUCGUCCAAAUUUUCUUUCAUCUUAGACAUCAUUUAACUUCGGUAAUCUUUGUAUUUUUCAAAAUUUAAAAGCAUUUUUUGUUUUAACUUUUCAAAUUUGAAUUAGUACAUAAAUUAAAUUGGUUUUCAUUGUCAUCCUCGCUAUUCAGCACAAUUUCUUUCUCUUUUCUUAGGCGGAAGUGUAGAUAUUAUUUCAAAUUAGAAAAAGAAAAAAUUGACUCAAACUAUCAAAUAGAAUGGGAUGGAUUAAUAAUCUUUUUAUUAACUCAAGUGGUUAACGAUCCUAUAAGGAUAAAUUGUUCGCCCAAACCCUAGUUUAAUUCUUGAUGGAACAAUUUUUUAUUGAAAUUUAUUUACUUUUGAUCAAACUUUAGAUCAUUAGAACCCUCCUCCUAUAAAACCAGCGGAUUAACAAAAAAACCAGUACAUAUGAAAAAAUAUGUUGCUAUUUUCACUUCUUGAGUUAUCUUAGAUAGAAUGAGUGCCAAUUGCAAUAGCCCAAAAGUUUUAUCCACUUUUAUCAACGAAAAGAGUUGUAUUCACCAUGAAUAUCAAUCAUCAAGAAUUAAAUGCAAUAAAUUUAUUUGUAUUAAUUUGUCCCCACCACUUAAAAUGUCUAGAUCUGUGUUGAAGUGUAGUAAAUUGAAACCAGGUUAUUUUCAAUUCAAUGCAAUCUUUGAUUAGAGUAAGGUUGGGUGGGGUGGGUCUAGGACAAGAAUUGAGCAUGUGCAGUCGAUGGACCAGAAAACAAAGUUAGGAAGUGAUCGUUUAUUGUGAGUAAGAACAAAAACAACCAAGUCGACUAUCAAUAGGUCGAGGAAAACCAUGUGACAUAAAAUGGUUUUGGUCACCAACCCCACAAUCUAUAACUCAAUAAUCAAUAUCUUCUUUAUAAAGCUCACCAAACAUGAACAUUCACUUAAGAGAGCAAAAUAUUGUGUAAAAUGCUUGCUAAGGAUAUACCUGACUCGAGUGAUUAGUCUCAUUACGGUCAUAUCUGACUCGAAUGACUAGUUUCAGCAAUUGCAAGCAUAAGAUAUCUGAUUCACACCUAAAAAAAAAAAAAA